rnacentral:rRNA from 1 species
CCUACGGGGAGCAGCAGUGGGGGAUAUUGCACAAUGGGGGAACCCCUGAUGCAGCGACGCCGCGUGAGUGAAGAAGUAUUUCGGUAUGUAAAGCUCUAUCAGCAGGGAUGAAAAUGACAGUACCUGACCAAGAAGCCCCGGCUAACUACGUGCAAGCAGCCGCGGUAAUACGUCGGGGGCAAGCGUUAUUCGGAUGUACUGGGUGUAAAGGGAGCGUAGACGGUUAUGUAGGUCUGGAGUGAAAGCCCGGGGCUCAACCCCGGGACUGCUUGGGAAACUGUGUAACUUGAGUACAGGAGGGGCAGGCGGAAUUACUGGUGUAGCGGUGAAAUGCGUAGAUAUCAGGAGGAACACCGGCGGCGAAGGCGGCCUGCUGGACUGAAACUGACGUUGAGGCUCGAAAGCGUGGGGAGCAAACAGGAUUAGAUACCCGAGUAGUC